GCGGUUUGUCGCGUCUGCUGUGAAAACCCGAGGCUCAACCUCGGGCCUGCAGUGGGUACGGGCAGACUAGAGUGUGGUAGGGGAGACUGGAAUUCCUGGCGUAGCGGUGGAAUGCGCAGAUAUCAGGAGGAACACCGAUGGCGAAGGCAGGUCUCUGGGCCACAACUGACGCUGAGGAGCGAAAGCGUGGGGAGCGAACAGGAUUAGAUACCCUGGUAGUCCACGCCGUAAAUGGUGGGCACUAGAUGUGGGGCUCAUUCCAUGAGUUCCGCGUCGCAGCUAACGCAUUAAGUGCCCCGCCUGGGGAGUACGGCCGCAAGGCUAAAACUCAAAGGAAUUGACGGGGGCCCGCACAAGCGGCGGAGCAUGCGGAUUAAUUCGAUGCAACGCGAAGAACCUUACCAAGGCUUGACAUAUACCCUCUACCCCCAGAGAUGAGGGGUGCUUCGGCGGGGUAUACAGGUGGUGCAUGGUUGUCGUCAGCUCGUGUCGUGAGAUGUUGGGUUAAGUCCCGCAACGAGCGCAACCCUCGUCCUAUGUUGCCAGCACGUAAUGGUGGGGACUCAUAGGAGACUGCCGGGGUCAACUCGGAGGAAGGUGGGGAUGACGUCAAAUCAUCAUGCCCCUUAUGUCUUGGGCUUCACGCAUGCUACAAUGGCCGGUACAAAGGGCUGCAAUACCGUAAGGUGGAGCGAAUCCCAAAAAGCCGGUCUCAGUUCGGACUGAGGUCUGCAACUCGACCUCAUGAAGUCGGAGUCGCUA
rnacentral:rRNA from 1 species